GUCACAAAAAUUAUGCUCGCACAUCGAUGUGGCCGGAAGGUGUGAGUUGUUCUGAUUCUGAACGGUCAUAUAGCUAUCAAGAAUGACAAGAAACUGCCUUGUGGAAAAUAUGCUGGAAGCCCUUAAAGUUUGAAGAUUGAGGACUCAAGAGAAAACGUGAAUCAUCGAGGCCACUUCGUAAGAAGAUAUUGAAUGAGUUCCCUGAAGACAAUCAAUAUGG